GUCAGCAGCCAUACCACCCGAACUUCAUACUAAAUAACCCACCUGAAGCUACGCAGGUUUGGGCCUGGCUGGUACCUGGAUGGGAGACCAGCUAGAAAAGCAGGGUUGCUGCUGGGA
rnacentral:rRNA from 1 species